GCCGGUGUGGCUCAGGGGUAGAGCAAUUCACUCGUAAUGAAUAGGUCGCGGGUUCGAUUCCCGCCACCGGCUCCA
rnacentral:tRNA from 1 species